AAGACCUUUGGGCCCUCAUGCUAGACAGGCCUUCGAAUCCACCUGCUUCAGCCCAGAGAGCAGGCUCAGGCCGUGCCUCCCACACCGCAGCCAACCUCAGAGCACCCUGCCUCAACUCCCCCUGUCACUAUGAGGGGAAAUAUUUCACCCUGGGCGAGUCUUGGCUCCGCAACGACUGUUUCCAUUGCACCUGUCUGCAUCCUGUUGGCGUGGGCUGCUGUGACACGUCCCAGCAUCCCAUCGACUUCCCGGCUGGGUGUGAGGUACGUCAGGAGGCAGGAACCUGCCAGUUCUCCUUGGUGCAAAAAUCUGACCCUCGGCUGCCCUGCAAAGGGGGAGGGCCUGACCCAGAAUGGGGCUCAGCCAACACCCCUGUUCCUGGGGCUCCUGCUCCCCACUCCAGCUAAACUCAACUGAUCAUCCAUCUGCUGACUGCUCACUGCUGCUGCCACUUCCAGGGAAACCACUAGCAGCUGCCAAUGUAUUCUGAACAAAUAAAUUAAUGCUAUAGCUGA
rnacentral:sRNA from 1 species